AUUUGGCGGACGGGUGAGUAAUGCCUAGGAAUCUGCCUGGUAGUGGGGGAUAACGUUCCGAAAGGAACGCUAAUACCGCGUACGUCCUACGGGAGAAAGCAGGGGACCUUCGGGCCUUGCGCUAUCAGAUGAGCCUAGGUCGGAUUAGCUAGUUGGUGAGGUAAUGGCUCACCAAGGCGACGAUCCGUAACUGGUCUGAGAGGAUGAUCAGUCACACUGGAACUGAGACACGGUCCAGACUCCUACGGGAGGCAGCAGUGGGGAAUCUUGCACAAUGGGCGAAAGCCUGAUGCAGCAACGCCGCGUGCGGGAAGAAGGCCCUAGGGUUGUAAACCGCUUUCAGCAGGGAAGAAGAUGACGGUACCUGUAGAAGAAGGUGCGGCCAACUACGUGCCAGCAGCCGCGGUAAUAAU
rnacentral:rRNA from 1 species